rnacentral:rRNA from 1 species
GACGAACGCUGGCGGCGUGCUUAACACAUGCAAGUCGAACGGAAAGGCCCUGCUUUUGUGGGGUGCUCGAGUGGCGAACGGGUGAGUAACACGUGAGUAACCUGCCCUUGACUUUGGGAUAACUUCAGGAAACUGGGGCUAAUACCGGAUAGGAGCUCCUGCUGCAUGGUGGGGGUUGGAAAGUUUCGGCGGUUGGGGAUGGACUCGCGGCUUAUCAGCUUGUUGGUGGGGUAGUGGCUUACCAAGGCUUUGACGGGUAGCCGGCCUGAGAGGGUGACCGGCCACAUUGGGACUGAGAUACGGCCCAGACUCCUACGGGAGGCAGCAGUGGGGAAUAUUGCACAAUGGGCGGAAGCCUGAUGCAGCAACGCCGCGUGCGGGAUGACGGCCUUCGGGUUGUAAACCGCUUUCGCCUGUGACGAAGCGUGAGUGACGGUAAUGGGUAAAGAAGCACCGGCUAACUACGUGCCAGCAGCCGCGGUGAUACGUAGGCCGCGAGCGUUGUCCGGAUUUAUUGGGCGUAAAGGGCUCGUAGGUGGUUGAUCGCGUCGGAAGUGUAAUCUUGGGGCUUAACCCUGAGCGUGCUUUCGAUACGGGUUGACUUGAGGAAGGUAGGGGAGAGUGGAAUUCCUGGUGGAGCGGUGGAAUGCGCAGAUAUCAGGAGGAACACCAGUGGCGAAGGCGGUUCUCUGGGCCUUUCCUGACGCUGAGGAGCGAAAGCGUGGGGAGCGAACAGGCUUAGAUACCCUGGUAGUCCACGCUGUAAACGGUGGGUACUAGGUGUGGGGUCCAUUCCACGGGUUCCGUGCCGUAGCUAACGCUUUAAGUACCCCGCCUGGGGAGUACGGCCGCAAGGCUAAAACUCAAAGGAAUUGACGGGGCCCCGCACAAGCGGCGGAGCAUGCGGAUUAAUUCGAUGCAACGCGUAGAACCUUACCUGGGUUUGACAUGGAUCGGGAGUGCUCAGAGAUGGGUGUGCCUCUUUUGGGGUCGGUUCACAGGUGGUGCAUGGCUGUCGUCAGCUCGUGUCGUGAGAUGUUGGGUUAAGUCCCGCAACGAGCGCAACCCUUGUUCACUGUUGCCAGCACGUUAUGGUGGGGACUCAGUGGAGACCGCCGGGGUCAACUCGGAGGAAGGUGGGGAUGACGUCAAGUCAUCAUGCCCCUUAUGUCCAGGGCUUCACGCAUGCUACAAUGGCUGGUACAGAGAGUGGCGAGCCUGUGAGGGUGAGCGAAUCUCGGAAAGCCGGUCUCAGUUCGGAUUGGGGUCUGCAACUCGACCUCAUGAAGUCGGAGUCGCUAGUAAUCGCAGAUCAGCAACGCUGCGGUGAAUACGUUCCCGGG